AGAACGAACGCUGGCGGUCGUGUCCUAACACAUGCAAGUCCAACGGUGAAAGGGGAGGCAAUCCCCCGGUAGGGUGGCAAAACGGGUGAGUAAUACAUAGGGUGAUCUACCUUAGGGAUGGGGAUAUCCUUCCGAAAGGAGGGGCAAUACCGAAUAUUGUUCCGGAGCCGUGAAGGGUUCCGGGGAAAGGGAGGCCGUCUGACACAAGCUUUCGCCUUAAGAUGAGCCCAUGGCCCAUCAGCUAGUUGGUAGGGUAAAGGCCUUACCAAGGCUACGACGGGUCGCUGGUCUGAGAGGACGUACCAGCCGACACUGGCACUGAGAUACGGGCC
rnacentral:rRNA from 1 species